GCGGGUGUAGUUUAAUGGUAAAAUGAUAGACUUCCAAUCUAUCGACGAGGGUUCGAUUCCCUUCACCCGCU
rnacentral:tRNA from 1 species